AYUCAUUGGUGGGGGUGUAGCCGUGAGGAGCCUGGUCGCUGUAGUGGCGCCGGCUUGGUGCACAACAAACUUCUUUGACUGCCAGACACACUAUUGGGCUUUGAGACAACAGGCCCGUGCCCCUUUUUGGGGGGUGGCAUCCGGUUGCGGGUGUCGGCGUGUUGUUGCCUCACUUUGGUGGUGGGGUGUGGUGUUUGAUUUGUGRAUAGUGGUUGCGAGCAUCC
rnacentral:misc_RNA from 1 species